rnacentral:rRNA from 1 species
AGCUGGUUCUCUCCGAAAUAGCUUUAGGGCUAGCCUCAAGUGAUGAUUAUUGGAGGUAGAGCACUGUUUGGACGAGGGGCCCCUCUCGGGUUACCGAAUUCAGACAAACUCCGAAUGCCAAUUAAUUUAACUUGGGAGUCAGAACAUGGGUGAUAAGGUCCGUGUUCGAAAGGGAAACAGCCCAGACCACCAGCUAAGGUCCCAAAAUAUAUGUUAAGUGGAAAAGGAUGUGGCGUUGCCCAGACAACUAGGAUGUUGGCUUAGAAGCAGCCAUCAUUUAAAGAGUGCGUAAUAGCUCACUAGUCGAGUGACACUGCGCCGAAAAUGUACCGGGGCUAAACAUAUUACCGAAGCUGUGGAUUGUCCUUUGGACAAUGGUAGGAGAGCGUUCUAAGGGCGUUGAAGCAUGAUCGUAAGGACAUGUGGAGCGCUUAGAAGUGAGAAUGCCGGUGUGAGUAGCGAAAGACGGGUGAGAAUCCCGUCCACCGAUUGACUAAGGUUUCCAGAGGAAGGCUCGUCCGCUCUGGGUUAGUCGGGUCCUAAGCUGAGGCCGACAGGCGUAGGCGAUGGAUAACAGGUUGAUAUUCCUGUACCACCUAUAAUCGUUUUAAUCGAUGGGGGGACGCAGUAGGAUAGGCGAAGCGUGCGAUUGGAUUGCACGUCUAAGCAGUAAGGCUGAGUAUUAGGCAAAUCCGGUACUCGUUAAGGCUGAGCUGUGAUGGGGAGAAGACAUUGUGUCUUCGAGUCGUUGAUUUCACACUGCCGAGAAAAGCCUCUAGAUAGAAAAUAGGUGCCCGUACCGCAAACCGACACAGGUAGUCAAGAUGAGAAUUCUAAGGUGAGCGAGCGAACUCUCGUUAAGGAACUCGGCAAAAUGACCCCGUAACUUCGGGAGAAGGGGUGCUCUUUAGGGUUAACGCCCAGAAGAGCCGCAGUGAAUAGGCCCAAGCGACUGUUUAUCAAAAACACAGGUCUCUGCUAAACCGUAAGGUGAUGUAUAGGGGCUGACGCCUGCCCGGUGCUGGAAGGUUAAGAGGAGUGGUUAGCUUCUGCGAAGCUACG